CCCUGUUCACAAUACUCAUUCUUACCUCACUAGACAAGUGUCACAGCAGUAAUGAAGAUCAGAAGCCUCACAGUGGAGGUUCUUGCUUAACAGCUAGCAACGUCUUCCAGUCCCAUGGAGAGCCAACUGGGUCAACGCAAUGUAUUCUAACACAGAAAGAAAGGAGACUGAAAACAUCCCAAUCUUCUUUUGCUCCAGCUCUUCCUUGGUUUCUUCAACCAAUGAGUGCUUUGCUACCCUCAAAAUCCAUGGAGAAGAUGCCUUGACUUCUCUUUCUCAGAAAGCUUCUGUCUUCUGCACCCUCUGCUAUGAAAUC
rnacentral:lncRNA from 1 species